rnacentral:rRNA from 1 species
AUGGGCGAAAGCUGAUGCAGCAUGCCGCGUGUGUGAAGAAGGCUUUAGGGUUGUAAAGCACUUUCAGCGAGGAGGAAAGGAUUAAAGUUAAUACCUUUGAUCUGUGACGUUACUCGCAGAAGAAGCACCGGCUAACUCCGUGCCAGCAGCCGCGGUAAUACGGAGGGUGCGAGCGUUAAUCGGAAUUACUGGGCGUAAAGCGUGCGUAGGCGGCUACUUAAGUUGGAUGUGAAAGCCCUGGGCUCAACCUGGGAACUGCAUCCAAAACUGAGUGGCUAGAGUGCGAGAGAGGAGUGUGGAAUUUCCUGUGUAGCGGUGAAAUGCGUAGAUAUAGGAAGGAACACCAGUGGCGAAGGCGACACUCUGGCUUGACACUGACGCUGAGGUACGAAAGCGUGGGGAGCAAACAGGAUUAGAUACCCUGGUAGUCCACGCCGUAAACGAUGUCUACUAGUUGUCCGUUGUCUUGUACGAUGGGUAACGCAGCUAACGCGAUAAGUAGACCGCCUGGGGAGUACGGCCGCAAGGUUA